rnacentral:rRNA from 1 species
AACGAACGCUGGCGGCAUGCCUAACACAUGCAAGUCGAACGAGACCUUCGGGUCUAGUGGCGCACGGGUGCGUAACGCGUGGGAACCUGCCCUUAGGUUCGGAAUAACUCCCCGAAAGGGGUGCUAAUACCGGAUAAUGUCUUCGGACCAAAGAUUUAUCGCCUUUGGAUGGGCCCGCGUUGGAUUAGCUAGUUGGUAGGGUAAAAGCCUACCAAGGCGACGAUCCAUAGCUGGUCUGAGAGGAUGAUCAGCCACACUGGGACUGAGACACGGCCCAGACUCCUACGGGAGGCAGCAGUGGGGAAUAUUGGACAAUGGGCGAAAGCCGAUCCAGCAAUGCCGCGUGAGUGAUGAAGGCCUUAGGGUUGUAAAGCUCUUUUACCCGGGAUGAUAAUGACAGUACCGGGAGAAUAAGCUCCGGCUAACUCCGUG